CCACCUCCGAUCAGCUGAUACUUCUGCACGUUUGUUUUUCACAGUUGAUCAGUCCCCGGAAAUCGGUAAUUCGUGCGGGAUCAAAGGGGGGAUGGAGCUCCGAACAACGAGAUACAUCGUUGUUGGACAAUAUUGUUGGCAUCGUUCACUUGAUCGGUAGUACCGAUUCGGUACUUGACACGCGAGCACCGAAGCAGUAAUAUAGCGAUGUUCUAAAAAAAUUCAUCAUAAUACGAUCGAGCAAGUGCUGUCACCCUUCGUUAUCAUUCUUCGUUGACGAAACCGCGUCACAGUCAUUUUUCCUUAUCGUACGCAAAAUGACUAUUUGGUGUACCGUUGGCUAUUCUCUAAACGUAGAUUGAGCCACGUCCAACCAGGCAUAAUCGCAAUAUAAUGGAUAACGUGACAAGAAUAAUUUAUGCAAUAUGUCGGGGGUUUGUAGACAGCUUGAAGGGUACUGUUGUUCUUUUCUACAUGGAUAAGCAGAUUAAUGAAAAAUUAAUCGGAAAAUCUCCUAGUCGAGUGGAACUUAGGAGGAGAGACUUAGUUACGCCAAGUCCCACCAAAAAUAAACAACGAGAAUCUAUGGUAUUGAUGAGAACCAUACAAUGCUGUGCAUUAAAUGGAGGGGUGUUUUGGGCUAGUAUACUGAUAUUUGAGUUUGGACUUUUACCAUUUGUUAAGUACUUACUGACUAUUAUAUUUGGCCAUUCUCCUGGCAUGGGUCUUACUGUAUGGUCAUGGAUUCAGCCAUUUCUAUCCCUUACGUUUGGUACAAUAUGGGUGCUACCACUAUUCUUACUCAGCAGAAUAGUUAACAGUUUAUGGUUUCAAGACAUAGCAGACAGCGCAUACAGAUACAGGCAAGGAAGACCAUUGCUUCUGUCAAGUGUAAGCAAAUUGAUAGCUGACACACUUUUUAGCGUAUUAGUUCAAGCAUUAUUCUUGGGACAAGGAAUGUUGGUGUCCAAAGUUCCCCUACCGCCAUUAGGGGACAUUCUUGCUCUUGUCCAUAUGUGCCUUUUAUAUGCUCUCUAUGCCUUCGAAUACAAGUGGUUCAACAUGGGUUGGGAGUUGCAUAGACGAUUGACUUUUAUUGAAGGCAAUUGGCCAUACUUUUUAGGCUUUGGUAUGCCAUUAGCAGUACUUACCCAACUGCCCAAUUCGUACUUUGUAAGUGGCUGUGUUUUUUCCAUUUUAUUUCCACUGUUUAUUGUAAGUGGAAAUGAAGCAGAACCUGUGACUGGAGUAUGUGAUUGCCAACUGAAAUUAUUUUCACCAGUAAUUGCAAUUGCAAAUACAUUAUUUAAUAAAACUAUUGGGCGGGCCAAUAAACGGUGAUAAUAAAAAUGAAGAAGAAUGCUUAAUUUAUGCCAUUUAAGCAUUAGGACAUGCGUACAAUUUAUCAAUUUGUUACAGAAAAGCUCAUAUACAAUAGAAAUAAUUGUAAAAUAAUAUUUAAACAAUAUUUGGAUACCCAUUUUUUGCUCUUACGACAAAUAAUAUUACUUUUAUUAUUUAAGUGAAUUACAAAGUGUUCAGAAAAAAUGCAAAAGGUAGAUUUAUUUUUUGACACUAAAAAGAUUAUAAAAUAAAAUAAUCUUUUUCUAUCACGAUUUUUGUAAAAUAUAAAAAUAACUAUUUAAUUGGAAUAUAAGACCAAUCAGUACAAAUAUUUAUUUAUGCAUAUAUAAUAAUGCACAUAUAGUUUAUUCGUACAUGUGUGAUUACCGGUAUUUAAUGAUAUUACCAUAGUAUACAAACGAUAUGAACCGGAACAUAUUUCUCAAUUUUUAUGAGAAUUCAUAUUUUGAGCUUUUUAUGCUGUAGCUAGUCAUUUUUCAAUAUCGAUUUGAGAUCUCCAAUCGUCGCUGUGCUGUAAACGUAUAUUAUAAACAUGUGCUAUAGGUAAAAAUAGUACACUAUAUGGCAGUUAAUAUAUCCAAUCUAGUGAUAAUGUAAUCUUUAUGUAAUAUAGAUAUUACUGAGAUUGAGAUAUUCAAACAUUAAGAUAAUCCUAUAUAAAACAGUGAUACAUGACUUUUUUUAUAUUCUUCCUGAGGAAUAUUGUAUUUGAAAAAUUUUUAAAUUUGAUGAUAAUUUACGUUCUUUGUAAGCGCCAAUGACAUCUCAAUCAAUUGAAUCUAUUGAUUCUAAUAUUUCUAAUUACGUAUUGUGUGCCAUACAUAUCAUUUAUACAUGGGAUUCGUCCAAAAAAAUCAUGUACGAUAAAAACAAACGAAAAAUAUCAUAAUUAUAAAUACUGCUAAUCAUAAAAUAUAAGAAUAUUUCAAUUUUUGUAUAUGAUUAGGAAAGUGCAAAUGAAAUUAUUACAUUUGUCACAUACAUUGAUCAUUUUAUACACUAUAAUUUAAAUAAAUAUUAAAAUUAAAAAUAGUGUUUAUUUUCGUAAUUGUCGCAAAUCUAGUCAAUUGUGCAUUUACGAGGAAAAAUCCCUAUAGGUAUUUCACGCUUUUCGAUUCAAAAUCAAAAUCUACAGAAAUUGAGUUCCAUGAUCAAACCAGCAGGGUCAACUAUACAAUAACAAUCAGAAAAAGGACAGGAGCCUGAAAAAAUAUCUUUGAUCAUGAGCACCGAUAAGAUACUAUUAGUACUUCGUCGAUGAUAUGACGUAUAUUGUUAUAAUAUCGAGAAAAAUGUCUCCCCUCCUAUUUUCGUCUUUAUUUACAACGAGAAACACAUGAUAAAAUACACACGUCCAUAUAACUUAGGCUGCAUUCCGUUUCAUGCAUAAUGUAUCAUUCAUUCUCAUUUAACGUUAGACAAACAACGAAGAUGAACAAUGACCCAUGCGUGAAAACAGAACGUGGCUUUAUAUAACUGUACUCUAUGUUGCGUUUGAAAAGCAUCACGCAACAUCUUUUAUUUAGUACUCCAUCAUUAUUUACGUGUCUUGCUCGUACUCUAUUUAUCCUAGCUCGUUUUGUAAAAAUUGAUGUAUCGACAGCCUACAAUCUUGAUCGUUAGUGGAAAUGUAAAGAAGAAAAUAAAAGUAUCAUAUCGAAGAAAAAGAUUAUUUUAUCAACUCCAAAUGACUCGUGUAUGAUCAUAUAAUUGUCAGGAAUUAAUAUCACGAUCAUGUUAAGCAAUCAUCUUGUUAUUAAAACUGAAAGGUAAAUGAUGAAAUAAUAAAUCUGAUGUUGUCUAUAUACUA
rnacentral:misc_RNA from 1 species